GACUUAAGGUCCUUACAUAUCGGGAGCUUUUUUUUUCGUGCGAUUGUUUCGGGCAUCAAUAUUUUUUUCGAACCUGUAUCCUGUCAAUACAAGCGUUCACAUCAGUGACGUUUUCCUGUCCUGCGAUAUUGCGGCAUUUAUUUUUUCGUAUCACAUUCAAAUUUUCUAAAGUUUCACAUACUGUGUGUCCACUUCUGACCAAUCAGAUUUCGUGUUGUUGCGAUGUCAGAUUCACCGGUAUAUCCAACAUGGCCAACCAGCUGAUUGUUCAUGUGAUAUUAUUAAAACAUAAUUCAUCAAACUUAUGAGAUCAGAAGUCCUCACAUUUUUUCAAUAAAGACCAGAAACUUGUCUGAUCCUCUUUGUAAUAGAAACACGUUUGCAACAACUUGAUACCAGCAGAAUUUAAUGUUACACCUCCACCGCUCCCCUGAUAAGAAAUGACCCGGUCACAGAGCCAUGCUGACCUGACAAUACUGCAUUAGUCAAGAAGACAAAAGUCCAGUCCAGGGACAAGAGCGCAGGAGCAAGACAGAGGAGAAGAGAGAGACUCCGUUUUGAUCUUAUUUCAUCUGAAAAAGGACUAAAAUUUCUCUUGUUUUCCUAAGAGUUAUGUCUUUGGUACAAAGUAAAUCCUGCAGAUUAUUGAGGAUUGUGUUCAGAAAGGGUGUGACCAGAUUACUUUGCGAUUUCAUCAGACUUCUGUAGAUCAGGCGAUAACUAUGAAACAACAAUAACGUGCUUUGUAUAAGAGUUUAAACCGGUAAGUCAUCUCCAGCUAUUUGCCUGACCCUGUUUCUGUAUGUAACAUGAUCAUAAAGACAAGCUACACUAUACGUCUCAAAGAAAACACUCAGAAUUAUGGCGUUUGACUUUUAAUUUGAACUGUAUGAGCCCUGUCAUCAGCCAAAAUCUGACAGGGGGAUAAAAUCAAUUUUCAUCAGUCAGCGUGUCCAAGAUAAACAUCUUGUCGCAAAUGUAAUUUUGGGAGAUGAACUCAGGCGUUUGGGUGAAAGACUGCUUUAAGAAUAAUGAAAGCUCAUAUAUAUUCAACGUUUAGAGGCUCCUAGUUUUAUUAUAAUACUUUUUACUACGAUUACACCUGCUCGUGCAGAGCGGCCUGUGACGAAAUUCUUGACACAUCAGCUCGUAAAAAUACCUGAAUGUUCUUUCCCCGGAGCUUUUUAAACUCUUGAUAGCCUCCCUUUUUAGCCCCUGCCUUUUUUGCCUCGUCCAUUUUCUUUUGGGGAAUAAGAGCCGCGGGAUGACUCACCUUUCAGAGAAGCAACAUAAAUAGCCUCGCUCUCUCUCUCUCCCCUCACUCCUCUUAUGUCUCAAUUGCUCCCCGAUGUCUCAGUUUUCCCUCCUCCCUCUAUGCACUUUUCUCUCAAGAUUGCCCAGGAGAUAGUUUUAUUUUUAGCCACAUGACCCGCGUACAGAGUUUCACUCCAAAAUGAGGGGUUUACUAUUUGAAAUUGGUGACAUCUAGCCUACACUUCAGGGACUGCUGUUAUGAAAGUGAAGCACACUUUGGGACGCUAUUACGGCCGCCAGUCCGGCUCUUUUACUCUGCUUUUUAAAGCCGGAAUUAUGCGAAUGUCCUCAUAAAACAAAAUAGAUGGUGAGACUUUCAAACACAGUUUGUCUUCACAAAAGGUUACACAUUGUCAUGCAAACACUCCUCCACGAGGAGAUUCUUCACAUUUUCAUCUGUCAUUUGAAACUGAACAACGAUGUCCUUUUUAAAAUGCCAUGUUGUUGUUUUUGCUGGGAGUUCAGGAGAUUUAUAAGCAAAUUAGAAAAGACCAUGAGAGUGUUGGGACUAUUGGAAACAUGUAAAAAUGCAGGUUGUUGACUCUGAGAAAGUUACUCAAAGCUGUUCUUUUGGUUUGGUUUGGGAAUGCCUCAGACAUAUCUUUUAAUGACAUAACCUUUGAGUAAUUUUACUGACUACAGAACCGUGUAAAAAGUAAGUAAACUAACCCUAACCCUAGCCGGACUCGUGUCUGAACUGUUACUAAACCCUCAAGUUAAGUUACACACCAUCAGGGGGUUAAACAACGGCCAAUAUAUAACAAGACGAAUGGCUAGCCUCCAAUGUUUUCGUAAUAAUUUAACUUUUAGGUGGUUUUGUUAACACAAACCUGUGUAAAAUGUAACCCUAUUAAGCUGUAAAACAAGAUACAAAGACAGAUUUGCGCCUUAACCGUUACUAUACCUAGAAGCCCAGUACUGCACCAUCAGGGAAUGUAACAACGGCUAAUGUGUAAUAGCGCAAAUGGCUAGCCUCCAAUGUUUUCGUAAUAAUUUAACUUUCAGGUGGUUUUGUUAAUACAAAGCUGUGUUAAAAAUUACCCCAUUAAGCUGUGAAACAGGAUACAAAGGCCAGUUCAAGCCAGAUUAGCGCCUAAACUGUUAUGAAAUCCGGAAGCUAAGUAAUACACCAUCAGGAAAUGCAACAACAGCUAUUGUAUUAUUGCACGAAUGGCUAGCGUCCGAUGUUUUUGUAAUAAUUUAAUUUUCAGGUGGUUUUGCCGGCAGCCGAAAGAAUGUGUGUCAAAAUCUAGAUGCUUCAUUUUACCUGAAAUUUAAUUGUGAUAAUUAUCAGCUUAAAGCAACUUUUGUUUCGUGUCAGUUUGGCACCCCCUGUGGACAAAGUAGUCUUUGCUUAUCUACAUGCCCUAACAGCGUGUUCUCCCAAAAUCGAACCCUUUUGACUUUUGAAACUUAAAUGUAUAAUUUAUCGUGAUUCUUUGAAGUUGAAAAUGUAAAAACAGCCAACACAUACCCCCUUGCACCCUUGUCAGGCAUUAAAAACUGCUCUAUAAAAAUCACUUGUCUUGACCCUGAUGGUUUUGUUUGCUUUAGUUCAUCAUAAAAAGGCUUCAGUUUGAAUUUUGGUUAAUUUCACAAACAUCCAAAAACUCCUCACUGGAGCUUUAAAUAGAAAUUGUAUUUCUGUCUCUCAUUAGAAGAUGAGUGUAGUGUUUGUUGAUUCGACGGCAGCUGUGAGUUUAAUUUGUUUGAGCUUUAUAUGUCAGACAAAUCUAACCGCUCAUUGGCAUCAGCUUCCAAAGGUAAUUGUUUUGGAUUUUUUGGUAGUUUUCUCUGUGACAUUUUUGAUUGCCAGACAAAAGUUAACAAACAGAGGGUUUAUUUUUGGGUGUUCGGGGAAUCAUAAAUGAGGAUUUCUCUAUUUUUUGACAUCUGGAUAACGAGUGAUUUAUAAAAAGCGGAUAUUUGUGAUGCAAAACGCUCCCGGAAUUAAAGCAUACAAAUUUAUUACACACUGUUCCCACCUACACACAUUCUUAGAGGUUACAGAGAGACGAACAGACAACAGCAAUCAAAAUCGUCCAAGAGCUGCUUCCUGUCCCUUCACAAAGAGUCUACGCCAGUCAUUCAUAACGUGCUGAUUUCUCCCAAACAUAGACUCCACAAAAACAUACACACACAACCUACACAACCCACACAACCCACACAACGGUCAGUUUUCAGACUGACACUGAUUACAAUCAUCCAGAGAAAUGACACACAUUUAAAUCUGGACGAGUGCAAUGCAAUGCUUCCAGCGAACAGCCUCUGGGUCUGUGGGUGUGUGAGUGUGUGUGUGUGAGUGUGUGUGUUCACGUGUGUGUGUGUGUGUGCGUUUGCGUGUGUGUGUGUGUGAGUGUGUGUGUUCACGUGUGUGUGCGUGUGUGUGUGUAUGUGUGUGUGUGCCUGCCUUGAUCCCCUAUCUAACUCAGUAGCCGCUCAGGGACGAUGUGACUAGAAUUCUGAUGCCUUUAAUUGAAACCUGUUUUAUCCUCCAUUUACCACACUCAUCUACAGAGGAUUAUAGAUGAGGAGGAGGAGGAAGAGGAGGAGGGAGAGGGGGAGGAAGGGUGAUAAAACGGCUGGAGAGAGAGGAGAGAAGUUUCUGGGGUUUACAUUAAAACCCGAUCAAACUGGUUCUGAUUCUUGAAUUUAGGAGAUGUUCUCUAAGAAAGAAAGAGCCGGAAGAUAGGAAAAAUAAAGAAAAGGAAGGAAGGAAGAAGGAGAGGAGUAGAAGGAAGGAAAGAAGGAAGAGGAAAGAAAGGAAAAAGAAAAAUAGGAAGAAAGGAAGGAAGGGGGAAAAGGAAAGGAGGGAAGAAGGAGAGGGGUGGAAGAAGGGAAAGAAGGAAGGAAGGAAGGUAGAGGAAAGAAAAGAUAAAGAAAAUAAAAGGAAGGAAGGGGGAAAAGGAAAGGAAAAGGAGAAGGGUGGAAAGAAAGAGGAAAGAAAAGAGGAAAGAAAGGAAAAAGAUAAAAGGAAAGAAGGAAGGGGAAUAGGAGAGGAAGAAGGAGAGGAGUGAAAGGAAGGAAAGAAAGAAUGAAGGAAGGAAGGACGGGGUAGAGGGAAGGAAGAGGGAAGAGAGAAAAUAGAAGGUAGGAAGGUUGAAAAGGAAAGGUAGGAAGAGAGAAUGAAAAAGGAGAAGGGUGAAAGGAAGAAAAGAAAGAAGUAAGGAGGGAAGAAGGAGGGGGUGAAGGAAAGGAAUGUAGGAAGAGGGAAGAAAGAAAGAAGGAGAGGGGUGAAAGGAAGGAAAAAGGAGAAGGGGAAAGGAAGGAAGGAAAGAAAGAAGGAAGGAGGGAAGAAGGAGGGGGUGAAGGAAAGGAAUGUAGGAAGAGGGAAGAAAGAAAGAAGGAGAGGGGUGAAAGGAAGGAAAAAGGAGAAGGGGAAAGGAAGGAAGGAAAAGGAGAAGGUUGAAGGAAGGUAAGAAAGAAAGAAAGAAGAAUAUUAAAUAAGGAAAGGAAGGAUGAGGAAAGGAAAGGAAGAAGGAGAGGAGUGGAAGGAAGGAGGACAAGGAAAGGAAGAAGGAGAGAGGUGGAAGGAAGAAAGACAGGAGGGAAGAGAGAAAAAAAUUGAUUAAAAAUUAAAAGUUGUUUAAUAAUAUUAAAUAGAAGAAAAGCUAGAAUGAUCAUUUCAAAGUUUUUAUUUUUAUUUUUUAGAUUUAAGUUUUUUUGUUUAAAUAAGGUGAUCGGCUGAUUGUAUUUCAAAGCUCUUUAAUAAAAAGUUUAUUUUCCAAACUUAAUCAAAUUAAUUCAAACGUGUAUUUUUACCUUCCUAGAGGGAACUUUUUUAUCAGCUUGAAUAGUUAAUGAGCAUCCAGAGGGCCCUUUUUAUAACUUCUUUAUUGGCUGGGGGGAUUCCAGAGGGACUGAUUAAAAGUUUAUUUUUUCAAACUUAAUCAAAUUCAUUAAAACGUGUAGUUUUACCUUCCUGUUUUCUCCUCUUUAAAAACUACAUAAACAUAAUAAACUUUAACAGUCUUCACAUGUUUGUCUCUCUUUUUACCCUGAAGUUGGAGCGCGAGGUUUUACCUAAAUCUGUCAACGCGUCUGAGAGACUGAAACUGACGCCUUGAGUGUUGGCAAACAUGCAGAGAGACAGCGUUGGUGUGUUGAUGUCUGCGGCCAGGACAGGUACAUCUGUGACUCAGCGCUUCGGCGACGUCUGAGCCAGGAAAAAUACUCUCAGGUAUGUCACCCGGCUGGUUCUUGGACCGCAUGUUUGAGUGUGAAUCUGUGUGAAUCUAUUCAUGUCACCUAUCUUGUUUGCACGGAUGUUCAAGGCUUAUUAGCACGAUGAGCGUGUGUGUGUGUGAGACUCCUCUGACUAAUUACAUUAGUGCCAAUUAGUGAUGCAGGAAGCUGACAAAUGCUCUUCUACGUGCAUCAAUUAGUGCGAAACCCCACUGGGUCAUACAUGGUUAGAGAGAGCGGGGGAGGGGGAAAAAAUCAUCGCACCUGUUUUACUUGUGCUCCUUACAUCAGUAAUAAGUCAUUACCACUUUGCAUCGAUGCUGAGUGUGGUGUGUGUUUCUGUCAGCGCGCUUUACAUUCAUCAGUCAGCACAUUUCGUCACAGUCAGGCUUGUUACAAAGACAGGCUGUCAACUUGUUGCCUGGGGCAUGUACCGUCUUAAUCUGUCUAUACUGCCGUGACUGAUCUCUCUGCUUAAACAAAUCUGUGCAGAAGUGUGAAGUCAUAACUCAAGGCGUUUAACCGAGGAUUACUCUUAAGUCUUUGGCUCAGAUUCGUCUUUUAUGCUAUGCAUCGGUCUAAACCCUGGAGGAUCCAGUUUAAUCUGGAAGUGAUCAAACGCUGAUAUUCUAAGUAAACUAACACUUUGAGUGUUCGCUACUCUUUGAGUUAUUUUGAACCUUUUUUUGCACAGUUUUGGAAACUGAAAUCUAUCCUGGGAACAAGAUUAAUCUACAACUUUUCAUAACUAAUUUAAAAACAUGCGCUGGAUAUAAGGCUUAUUUACCCAAAGGGCAUAUAAUCAAACUUGAACUAAGACAUUUAAAAAUAACUUUAUAACCAACAUUUUACUCAAAGGACAUUCACAAGACACUUACUCAUUUAAUUUCCACUGCUAGGGCACCCAAAGGGAACUCUAUAUUACCUAAAAGACCAUUAAAAUGGGUACUUUUUUUAUACCUAACAAAGUUAAAGGACACUCUCUUACUUUCUUAUCCAGAGGGAACCAUUUGAAGUUAUCUAUAUUUGAUAUACGAUACUGCAAAAACUCUAUUACAAAGCACUAUUUCAAGGUUGUUAAAGAUUUCAAUACUGGACAGGCAUUCAUGAGAUACUUUGCAUUCUUACAAGGACAUCCAGAGAUCACUUAUACGUAUUGUAUCUACAGCAAAGACAUUGAGAGGGGACUUUUCAUAUUAGAAAUAUCCAGAGAGCACUUUUUAACGGCUUAAAUAGUUACAGGGCAUCCAAAGGGCACUUUUUACAUCAAGACAAUCCAGAGGGCAAUUUUUUUUUUAAACUAGCCAAAUGGCAUCCAGAGAGCACUUUUUAAACAGCUUGAAUAGCUUUAUUGACUAGAAGAGAUUCCAGAGGGACUGGAAUUUUUUGACAGCACUUUUUAACAGUUCAAAUAGUUAAAGGGCAUCCAGGGGGCACUUUAACAGCACAACAAGUUAAAGAGCAUCCAGAGGGCACUUUUUGAACAGCUUGAAUAGUUUAUAAAUAUCCAGAGGGCACUUUAUUAAAAGCUAGUUUGUGGGCAUCUAGAGGGCACUUUUUUACUAGCCGAAAUAGUUAAAGGGCAUCCAGAGGGCACUUUUUGUGGUGAGAAUAUCCAGAGGGCACUUUUUACAUAAAGACAAUCCAGAGGGCACUUUAUUAAAAGCUUGUUUUAGGGCAUCUAGAGGGCACUUUACUAGCUGAAAUAGUUUAAGGGCAUCCAGAGGGCCCUUUAACAGCCUAAAAAGUUAAAGAGCAUCCAGAGGGCACUUUUUAAAAACUUUUUUAUUGACUGAAAGGGAUUCCAGAGUGACUGAUUCUAUCUUUUCAAUACUAAAAAUAGUUCCAGAGGGCACUUUUUUUAACAAAUAGGAAAAGAGCUUCCAGAGGGCAUUGACGAGAAAGGAUUCUAGAGGGAACAAUUUUAUGCUUUCUUUACUGAAAAGGUUCCAGUUGGCACUAUUUUUAGGUUGUUUCCACUCUCAUAAGAAUUGUCAUAUUUGUGGUUUUGAGAAUCAACAACAAUCACUUUGAUGAUUCUUUCACUGGUGCUUGUUGGUUAGCUUGGCGUUCUGUCCUGAUUCGCUCUAUAUGAAAAUGAAACGCUAGCUGCAGCUGCUACAGCCGAGAGAAUUCACACCCCUCCCUCUCAUCCCAUGAGUGAUUUAUUCCAGUCUCUGAUCACUUGUCUGAAACUCAUUUAGACAAACUGGAACAUUGUUGUUGGAGAUUAUGAAGCACACCUGACUGUUCCUGGGAUAAUGUGACUGUGGUUCGAAUCACACUCUCGGCACAAAAAGUCACCGAUGAAAGGAAGCAGAAAUUUGUGUCUGAUUAGUCAGAUGUUCCCGUGUACUAUUAACCAAAAUGAGCCCAUUGAACAUCUUGAAAGGAAACUGAAAAUUGUGUGAUCACACUGAUCAUGAAUAAUUACUGACAUCUCAGCUGAGGAGUUCCUCUUUCUCUCCGUUACCAAGGAGACUUCACAGGAACAGAAAAGACCUUGAAAAUCAAACCCAGAAAUGUUGCUUUUGAGUCAAAUUGCAUCCCAGCGCGGUGAUUUUCUCUCCAUUGAACCGUCUUUUUCUUUGAGCUGGACAUCGACUGACUCAUCCUGUCUUUAUCCAGGCUUUCUUUGUGUUCUUUGGACAUUGUGCAGAUACAAAAACAUGACACACACUCGCUCACAAAAAUCAGAUUCUUUCCUUUGGAUCUGACAUACCGGAGGGACGUGGCAGAAAGUCAUUUCUCCUUUUUAAAGGCUGCCGACCAAAACACUCAUGCGCUGAAGUGUUCAACUUGAAAUCUGCAUUUAAACUUCAUUUCUUUUCAUAGAUAACUGCGUCCUGAAUUUAAGGGCCCAAUUUUGAGGGAUUUUGGGCCUUUUUCGGUACAUAUAAAGCGGCGCAUAAUCCUUUAAAGGCAGCAGAAGCUUGGGUUGGGGAAGGUGGUAGAAGUUUUCCUCCCAGUUCCAAUAGUACGUGUCUGCAGAGCUGUAGAGCCAGCAGAUCCACAACCAUGACAGAUCCACAACCCUCUUUUUAACCGCUGUUCCACAUCCAUUUUUCGUUGUUGCUUUCUUCCGCUUCAUCUGGGGCUUGGUCGUGGGGGCAGCAGCUUCAGAAGGGAAGCCCAGACGGCCCUUCCACCAGCUCCUCUGGGGGGAAUUCCCAGGCCAGGCGAGAGAUAUAAUCCCUCCACCUGGUCCUGGGUCGGCCAAGAGAUCUCCUCCCGGUGGGACAUGUCCGGAACACCUCUAACGGGAGGCGUCCAGAAGGCAUCCUAACCAGAUGCCUGAGCCACCUCAGCUGACUCCUCUAGACGUAGAGGAGCAGCGGUUCUACUCUGAGCGCCUCCCAAGUGUCCGAGCUCUUUACCCUAUCUCCAAGGAUGAGCCCGGCCACCCUGUGAAGGAAACCCAUUUUGGCCGCUUGUAUCUGCGAUCUUGUUCUUUCGGUCAUUACCCAAAGUUCAUGGCCAUAGGUGAGGAUCGGCACAUAGAUCGACCGGUAAAUCAAGAGUCUCACCUUACGGCUCAGCUCUUUCUUCACCACAACUGAUCGGUGAAGCGUCUGUAUCACUGCUGACGCCGCUCUGAUCCGCCUAUCAAUCUCCCGCUCCAUCCUACCCUCACUCGUGAACAAGAUCCAGAGACCCUUGAACUCCUCCACUUGAGGCAGGACCUGCCCUCCGACCUGGAGAAGGCAAUCUACCUUUUUCCGACUGAGGACCAUGACCUCGGACAUCCGUUUUUGUGCCCAGAAAUUUACUUUAAUAAACAAGUCCAAGAUCCAACAGGUCAAGAGGGAGCAGAGUUGAUAUGGGUUACCUUUUUAACUUUGUUCAGAUCCAUUUCUUCCCACCCUAACAAAUGCAUCUUUGCUUAUUUAGGAACUCUUUAAAACCGAUUUAUAAUCCAGUUUAAUCAUUUUGACUUUGAUCCGACUCUCCACCUCAUGCUGCUCUUUGUGUUACAGAAACCAUCUCAAUAUCCUAACCGGAAAGCCUGUUUUGACGUCCUCACGCUGGCUUCAUGCAUGUUUUAGUGCAGACUUCAGUGUUCUUUUAAUUUCUUACAAAGCCUCAGAGUUAUCCUCAGAUCUCUGUCGGAUCCCCUUGUGAGGCUCUGCUCUCACUGGCAGGGGUCUUUUAUCUGCUCCAGACUCCAGCCGAGGUCUACAGAGGGGGAGCUGAGCUCUUGAAAGGAGAGACUUCAGGCCCAGGAACGUCCCAUCUGAGGAAAGUUUUAUUGCAAAAUAUUCUCUCUUUUUCUUAUAUGUCAGUUUCCAUCUGUUUGAGAGUUUUGGUACUUUUGCUGUGCUAAGUUUCAUUUAAAAAAACUAUUGAGUUCUUAAAAGCCUCUCUCUUGUCAUACUUAUGCUGUCCUUUGGCUUUUCAGACACACACACAUCUCCUCCUCUUGCUCCCAUCCUUGCUCUCCUCUCAACACCUUCAGUUGCAUGAUCAUUUGGACACGUGUUGCAGAUACAACAGUCCAUAUCUAAUCUCAGAUUUCCUCAGAUAAGUUCUCGUGUCUUUGUGAAUGUCACUCUGCAGGUUCUCGGAUAACUUUUCGAACCCUCUCUCAGGUGUAUCUCAAUCGGAUCUCCAGCUGUCACCCAAUGAUGUGAGAGUAAGUGUAAUUCAGUCGUGAGUUAUGAUGAGACAGCCGGCUGACAGCGCUCUCUGGAUGUUAUUUUCUUCUCUACAGGAUACCUUUAUUUUCUCAUUUUCCCACAGAGCUCAUGCGAUACCAAGGUGAGGAUGUUUGAUUGAAAAGAACAGGAUUCAUCGCCGUCUUUAUUGGGAAAUUAUCCGGCGGUUCAGUGUGCUACCACAGAUCUAGUUUUGUCCCCUUCUCAAAGAGGACAAUUCAAUUUUUUAGGUCAAACAUUUUCAUUUCCAGCUGGCUCUGACUUAAUAAAGUUGUGACAUCUGAUCCUAACAGCGCCUGUGUGCCACACUGAGGCUUUUAUUCUUAAUACGAGAGCUGACAACAGUGUGUGUCAGGUUAAUUUACUCCAUAACCACCUCUACCCCUCACUGCUUUUCCCUCAGAGUGUGUCAGCGGCUCCUUUUCCUGUUGGCGUCUAAAACCACUGAAGGUUAAUGGACUGGAUGCUCUCAUACGGCUGCUUUUUACGUGUCCUAACCCAUUACCGAAGAGUUAUGUGCAUCACUACCUGCCAUUUUCCCAAAGCACACAAUCUGUUUUCAGUAUUUUAUUCAUGUAGUUGGAUUUUUUUUUUAAAUUCAGGUCAAUAUAUGGCCAUCAUAGAAUGUGUAGUACUUUAUACUUUUAUUACAUAACAGGGUGACUGUCAAGUAAAGGUUUUACUGGUUUUAUGCGCAAUAGGAUUGAAUAUAAUAGAAUAAGCUGCAAUACAAUACAAUAAAAUAUAGAAUAAAUACAAAACUCAAUUAUACUAGUUUAUACUCUAAGAUGAAAUAAGAUACUCUACAAUCAAAUAUGAUCCUCUAAAAUACAGUUUGAUACUAAACUAUACAUUAGGAUACCCUAACCUAUGCUGUGCUGUAAAACAGUACCAUACAAUAUAUUGUGACCCAAAGUGUGAAGUACUCGCAAGUUCAGAUAUCAGAGCAUAAAGUUUUACAAAAUUAAUGCACUGUUGUGGUAUCAUAUGGUAUAUGAUUUGAUCGAUUUGAUAUAAUACACAAUAUGAUAUAAUAUGAUACAAUAUGAUGUAAUAUGUAAUGAUAUGAAAUGAUAUGCUAUGAUAAGUUAUAAUAUAAUAUAUCAAAAUAUAAUAUCAUAUAUGAUAUGGAAUAUUAAAUAAUAUGAUAUACGUUGAUAUAGUAUAUAAUAUGAUAUGAAAUUAUGGUAUAAGCUUUUAUAUAAUAUAUGAUAUGAUAUGGUAUGAUAUAUAUGAUAAAUGAUAUAAUAUAAUAUAAAAUAAUAUAAUGUAAUAUAAUAUAAUGUAAUAUGUGAUAUGCUAUGAUAUAUUAUAUGAUAAAAUUUAGUAUAUUAUAUGAUUUAAUAAGGUAUGAUAAUAUAACAUAUAUAAUAAUAUAUGUAAUUAUAUGAUAUGAUAUAUCAUAAUAUGAUGUUUAGAACGAUUUGAGAUUGAUAUGAUGUGUGCUAUGACAUGAUAUCAGAUGAUAAAUUAUGAUAGAAAAUGAUUUUGUUAAAUUUUAUGUGACAUUACAUGACUGACGGAAUUUGAUAUGAAAUGAUUUUGUCUGAUAUGAUAUCAUGACAAAAUGUUGUUGUCAGUGUCUCUGUUUUUUUACCUUAAGACCACAAAAUUGUAAUAUGUUUGAUAUGAUAUAUGAGACAUUAUUGAUAUGAUAUAACAGAGAACACUAUUUUCACACUACAUUGUUCUUCCAGACUGUAACUUUUACAGUAAUCACUUGUAUUUAGGAAGAAUUUAAAAAAUGAUGCAGGACUAUUUGAUUCUGGCUUUUAUUCACAAGAGGCAACUUUUUGAGCGUGUCAGUUAGUUUAUCCAGGUGCAGCGUCUCUAAGCAUAACACUAAGUUCUAAUACUACAUGCACAUCACUAAGUUAUAGUGCCGUACUAUUCCAUACAGGAAAUGUGGACUCAAAUGCCAUUUGUUCUCCUCCCUGCAAUAAAAUUUCUCUUUAAUUUCAGUUUCAGUGCCUUGUGAACUUUGCUGUCGGCCUCAUUCAGCAACAAUAUCCAGGAAAUGUUUUCAGCAGAUCUAUCAAAAUGCCAAAAUUGAUUCUCUCUAACUUGUCUUAUUUAUUUGCCUGUUAAAACUGUCAUCCGUUCAUUCACAGUAGUUCAAAUGUUUCAUCGUUUCUCGGUGAGACGUCUUAUAACUAAUGGUUGGCAAAAUUAAUGUGACAUUUCCAUUGGUAAACAAGUGUGUGUGUGUAUGUGAGUGUAUGUGUGUGUGUGCGAGUGGAAACUUGGCCCUGAAAUUGAUUAGAGCAAAUGAAAACAAAACACCAGCGAUGUCCAAUCAUUCUGCUGCCAUCAUUCAUUCUCAUUUUGGACGCUCCAAGAUACACAGGCUCAACACAAACACCAUUCAUCCACCAUCAUGUGUUCUCAUCUAUUCUACUAUUUCUGGGUUAUAGACAAACACAGGUCCAGACAGAAACCAGCCACGAUCAAUACAUUUGACAAAAAAAACUGAAUCCCUCGGAGCGAUUCUCAUUUACCUACAAAUACAGUGACCUUUCUUCACUCGUUAUGCAUUUAAAGGGAGUUAUUUAUGGGCACCAUAGACCACAAAACCAAGUCUUCAAACUCAAUUUUUUAACACAUCGAACCGACGGUCUCUUAUUUGUACUCCCAAAAUAUUCCAAAUACUAAUAUUUAUAAGUACAACUUUCUCAAAGUUGAACUUUUUCAAUGAGUCAUGAGGCCAAAGAGCACUCUGUGGUUCUGUAAAAUUACGGCUGUAUCCACAACUAUCACACUGAGCCAAUGAGGGUAUUAAUUAUUGAUUGACAUUAAGUAUUAAUUCCGAGAACCCACACGAGGCCCGUGUUUUUCAAGACGAAGUAUCUGCUUUUUGGAUACACUUUGAAAUAUAAUGUUCAUUCCUACUAUUCUCUGUGGUAUAGUAUUUUAAUAUCACUGUUAUUGGACAGAAAAUAUUGAUAGUGUUGUUUUUGCGAAGACACAGACAUUUAAAGUUAAUUAUUAAUUGAAGUACCCGCUGCUGCUUCACAGCCAAUUAGGAAUGAUUCAUUCUUGCUUUUACAUUCCAGAAAAAAACAGAUUUAAAUCAGCUGUAAGACCGGAGAAAAGAAAUCUAGCCAUACAGUCUGGUCCCGCAGGGCACUGUUAAGAAGCUCUUAGAAACUUAUCUUACUGGCUUUACAGGUCUAAAUUUGAGGGUUUUAGACUUCCUAUUAUAUCAAAACCAAGUCCUAACUUGACCUGGACCAUAACCAUCUAAAACCGGCCUAUGUGUAAACGUUAACCCUGACAGACCCCCUACAACAACACCUUAAAUAGUUACCAUACCCCAUCACCUAACCAAAAACCCAACCAUAGUCCGAGAUCGAGUUCAACCCUGGUAUUAUUCUUUGUUAUGGCUCUUGACCAAACCCAAACACCAACCCUAAUCCUAAUCUUAGUCCUAGACCAAGCCCAAGGUGAAUUCUUGACCUUGUCCCAGAUGAUCUCAAAUCCCAACCAAAUUGCUUUACCCAUUACCAUACACACGCCCCAUUUUUAUUCAUAAAGAUAGUCCUAGACCACCUGAAUCACAACCAUAUUCCUUUGUUUAGACCUGAACUAAAACCAACCCUAAGUAAGUCUUAACUGUAGUUCCAGACCAAGUCCAGCCCCAGUCUAAUUCUUGCCAUUGAGACCAAACCUCAACCCUGACCUUUUUCCUGAACUUGACCUGGCCGCACUCAAAACACCUUGCCUUUGUCAAAAACCGAAAUCCCAACCCCAUUCCUUAUUGUAAUCCUAGACAAGGCCUGAAACUAAUUAUGGUCCUAGACUAAACCCUACCCUAGUCUUAUUCUAGCCCUUGUCCUAGGCCGAGUACUCACUCCAAACAUAUAUCAGUCCAUUGUCCUUGAUCAAUUUGAACCCUAGUCCUGUUUUAACCCGUGUAAAGGACCAAACCCAACCUUAUGUCUAGACCUUUUCCAAACAGAUGCCACACACAGGCCCUGGCUCUAUCCUGAUCUUAGUCCUUAACCUUGUCCUAGACCAAACCCUAACCCUUUUCCUAAAUGGGGUUCAGGACCUAGCCCAAACUCUAGACUAAGCGCCACCCACACUGAGUACUUCGCCAUAGUCCAAGACCACAUGAAAGAAAACGGCAAAAGUGUGUCUCAUCAGGGACGUACAAGUGGCUAAUAGGAAAAAAUGGGGGUAGACAAAGUGAGUGUUACCCGUUGGUGAGUUUCAGAGGACAUAAAGAGCUCAGAUUUCCUUUGUCUGCUCACAUUGAUGAAAUUAAUCCCAUUUAUGUGUAAAAACUUUGUGUUCACAGUUUAAGCUUCUUAUCUGCUGCCGGUGGAGCAGGCCCAGAGUGAUUCUUAAAUAUGAGUGAAAUAGUGGGACAAAUUGAAAAAUCUAACAAACACCAACAUUAAAGCCCUCCUAAUUUGGUGCCGGUCCUAUCUUAGCCUCCCUUCUGCUUUCUUUAUGUACCGUAGUCCACAAGGUCUCCUCCUGUUUGACAGCCUCGCCCUGGCUUCUCCCCCCUUAAGGGGUCAGAGGUCGAUGUCACCACCUGUGGUGACAGUCGGUUUGCUUCAAAAACCAGGAGCAGAAUAAUUGACUGCUGCCUCUGGAGAGCAGAAAAUAUGAGACCGAAACACCGCAGAUGGCAGCAGUCACACUCCCCGCCUCCCCUUCCUCCACAUGUGGGGAUGUGCCUGGACUCUUGAGGAACGGUCAUUAAUUCAACGACGUGAAAAGCGUUUAAAAUGCAUUUAAAGUCCCAAAGAACACUUGAAUUCAAGAGCCACUCCGUGUUAUGUUUUUCAGAGGGCAAGGCAAACUGAAGCUUCAUCAUUUCUCUAGGAGGGGAUCCCUCCAGGGUCCUCUUAUGGAGUCAAAGGACAGCUUAUGUCUCUUUUAAACCAAACUCAGCAUUCACUUCAAGUUUACUCAAUUGGCUUCUGUCAAUUGAGACAUUUAGGUCGAGGCUUUUAUUAACAAAAAUGAACAAAAUACUAAAAUGUCUAAAAGGGAUUAUCAACUGGACAUCCUUGAGCCAUAUCAAUCAACUUAGCCACACUCCUAAUUAUGCAAAUGCAAGUAAAACUCUUAAGGUCCUGAAACGCAGCAUUAGUCCUUGUUGUAUCUUGAUGAAUGAGUUAAAAAAACCAAACAUACUCCACGCUCGUUUCACACCAAGGUGAGCACACAUAAGACCAAACAGUGCCUUUUGAGCUGAGCUGAGUCAGUGUUCGUGAUGCUCAUCUUCACAUUCACACAGUCUGACUCGUUCACACCUGCCAGCUGCUGCUCAAACACAUCGUGAUGGUUUAAGGCGGCAGGUGAAGGUGAGGCAUCCUGCUCAAAGACACGAACUUUGGAUAAGGUUCGUGUUAAAACUGGAGACUCAGGGGGCCAGAUAAUGAGUUAUUCACAGAACUAAUGAGACUCACAAACACUGACAUGCAGACGACUGAGCUGGUACUUCCAAAUCCUGACACAGGUGCAUUUUUACAUACAUGAAAAAUGCACCCCGGCGCAGUUUUAACUUGGCGCAUGCAAAUGAAACCUAGUAAGUGCGUCUGGGAGGCAAAGAGAGAGAAAGCCGGAGAGAUGAGAUGAGAUGUGAAGGGGAUACAGGUGCAGAAAUGCCUCAGUCUGAUCUCUAAUUUUCGAUCUGGAACAAACACAGACACUCCAAUCCAAAGGCAGAGAGCGUGCCAAGCUCCAGCGGAACAAAGCCCCGAGAGUUGUGAUGAAUCUACGGCUGUGCUGCCUGACAGAUAUGAAGACGGGACAAUCACUCAACGUCAGAGGAGCGCCCGCUUCAUAUUUGAGCCGUGGCAGCAGACAAAGUCGCAUUAUGUUUAAACAAGCCGGAAGACAAAAGGAUUCGUGCCGAUGGUACUGUCGCAUGUGAAAAGGUGGAUAUUUCAUUCACAUGCCGGUCCCAAUGUUGUUUCUACACUCAGAGGCUGAAGGAGAAGUGACCGCGGCGGGAAUACUGAUAUGGUCAAAUGGAGGCGUUGGCAACAGUUCAGUCUAUUUAUCAACACAAAUCAUGGUACAGUAUGUUAAGAGAAGUCCCGAUGCUCCUCUGUCAGGGAGCUUUUAAACCAGGACAAUCUGUCUUCUGGUUGUGGCGAGGAGAUUGAUAUAGCUUUUAAGUACAUCAGGUUAAUAUGACGCGAAAGCUAGGAGCUUGGCCUAAAACCAGCCUUAAUCAGUGUGUAAUCAAGGUCUGGAAAUAAUGUGUUAUAGCUAUUUUGUCCCAUUCAGCUCAUCGUAGUCAAGCUGCCGCAGUGUCUUCCUGCUUCCAUCUGCUGACAUUCUGGGAGGUCGUGAAACCAACGAGGUUGAACGGCAUCAAAGUCAAGUAGUAUGCACAAAGUGUUCAAGCUGUGACCUUAUUUCAGUCCUGAACCGAGACACUAAAAUUGACAUAAAAUCAGUUUUAAAAAGUUAUAGGAUUGAAACAUUGACUAUUAGCAAUUUAUUAUCAAUACUCAGUGAGCAAUCAACAUUACAGGACUUCUACAACUAGGAUAAAGUGACAUAGCCCAGGACCCGAGGUAAACAGUUUAGCGGCGCUACAACACGCUACAGCAGGUCCGUUUGGCAAGAAACACUUCUGUUACAGACACUUGUCUUACUUUGUUAAAGCGGUUUACCUGUCCAGCAGAAAGGUUACAGGGUCCGUAUGACCCCAAAGUGUCCCCCAUCGUUUAUGCUGAUGUUGACCCGGCUUUUUAGCUCUUGUCUAGGUGGUCUACCUCCAUUUUAAGCGCCUGUUAUGCCGCCAGGGUCUCCGGUAUUUACUUUGUUUUCUUGCUUGUGUUGACAGUCGUGGCCAAAGGAGGAUUCAGAAAAUUUUUCAUACUUUCUGGUUGGUUUCUACUGUCCGGUAUUGUCGCGCGUUAACUUUGUUUGGGCUCGUGAACGACACGGGGGAGCAGCGUCUGCCUCACAACCAGUAAGGUUGGGGGAGGUGGAGAGUGGCUUUGUUUACAGUCAGAAAGGGCGGGCCUCUCAAAAUUUUUAAAUGUUGACUACACAGACAUAACAAAACACAGCGAUAUCAUUAUAUUACCAAAUGUCAUCAAUAACUAAUAGCUAUGACUAUGGCUUUUUUGUCUAUAUACCACAAAAAAGAUGCUUCUUUAAUGGAAUCCUGCCUACCCCAGCUUUUAAUUUCUCCAAACUAGGUCUAAAACUUCGACAAAAUGUAGACACUAGAGAAUGUUUGAUCAGGACUGAAAAUCAGAUUAAAUGUGAAGUAGCCGUCUCCCCUUGAUAGGGACUGUGUUUAAAGUUCAGCCUGUGUGAUCUGUCCUUUAAUCUAAGUGCCAUUAAAACACUUAACAUGAUGGUAAUACUGUAGGAUUUUGGGCUUCCGGCGCUUGAAAUAAAAACCAGGCGACACUUUCAGACACUUCAUUAGUUUUCAUUAAUUCCUAAAGACCAAGGGCUGCUUAGUAAGCAAAGUGCUGACACAAAGGGAGCUGGAUGCAUCCAGAGUAGCCGUUGUGACUUAUUAAUCUGUGCGUGUGAGUGAUUUGCAUGUGGAAAUGGAGAUCAGAUGCCAAACAAAGAGCUGAGACUUGACAGCUUUGCAAAAUCCUGGAUUGUAAUAUGUUUUAAUUGGACUCUCAAAAGCUCACAGUGAGGCCUGGCUGGAAAACAAAUCAUCACAACAUUAUCCUAAACUUUAGCAGAAACUUUUUUAUUUGACCUGGCUUCAUCACCCUGUGAGAGACCGUGUGAGCACAUAGCUCAA